CUCUGAAAAAUCAUCUGUGCUUAUUUCUCAGUCAUACAAUUAAUGUUUAUUAUUAAUUUCUACCAGAUCACUCUUUCACCCAUUCGUUUCACCACAGAUCAUCGCUUUCGCGUCGUCGUCUUACGACUUCAUGAUUUUGAGUGAUGGAAACGUACAGCUAAACUUGAAAAUAUAUUGUCCUUUGAAUUUUGGAUAAUUUAAGUUUAGUCCCGAAUAUUUUUAAAUAUGUAUCGUUUACUGGUGAAAAAUGCAAAGCAAGUUGUACUGGUAUGUAAUAAAGGUGAAACUUUGUUAAAAGGAAAUUCAAUGAGUAAUGUUGUCGUACUUAACGAAGGCUAUAGUUUAGUAAUUGAUGAACAAGGAAACCUGGCUUGUAUAGAUGUAAAUAAUGUUGUUUAUGAAAAAUAUUCAGAAAAUGAUUUUGAUAAAAUAAUAGAUGCUACAGGUUGCAGUAUAAUCCCAGGUUUGGUAGAUGGUCAUACCCAUCCCGUAUUUGCUGGUGAUAGAGUGCAUGAAUUUGCUAUGAAGUUGGCUGGUGCAUCGUACUUGGAUAUUCACAAAUCUGGAGGUGGGAUCAAUUUUACUGUCAGUCAUGUUCGGAAAGCAAAUGAAAAACAACUUUUCGACAGUCUCAGAGAAAUUUUGAUGCGUAUGUUGAGAGCUGGAACAACAUUAAUGGAAGCAAAGAGUGGCUAUGGACUUGACACUAAAAAUGAAAUGAAGAUGCUAAGGGUAUUGGAAAGAGCAAAAAAUGAACAAGCUAUUGAAAUAUCAAGUACAUAUUGUGGAGGUCAUGCUAUACCACUGGGCUCUACUCCUGCUGAGGCUACACAUGAUAUUAUUACAAAGCAGUUACCUGCACUGAAAAGCCUUAUGGAUUCAGGGAAACUUCAUGUAGACAAUAUUGAUGUGUUUUGUGAAAAAGGUGUAUUUGAACUCUCAGAUACAGAGAAAAUACUGAAGGCGGGGAAGAAAAUUGGUUUGGCAAUCAACUUUCAUGCUGAGGAGUUAAAUCAACUUAAUUCUGUUGAGUUAGGAGUGUCACUUGGAGCAAGAUCAAUAAGUCAUCUUGAAGAAAUAAGUGAAGAAGGAAUCAAAAUGAUGGCAUCAUCCUCAAGUGUUGCUGUUGUUUUACCAACAACUGCCUAUAUAUUAAAACUAUGUCCACCUCCAGUAAGAAAGAUGAUUGAUGAAGGUGUUGCAAUUGCCCUUGGUUCUGACUUCAAUCCCAAUGCAUUCUGUGUGUCUAUGCCACUGGUGAUGCAUCUAGCCUGUGUAUUGUAUGGAAUGACCAUGAACGAAGCACUUGUAGCAAGUACGAUUAAUGCAGCAGCAUCAAUAGGAAAAUCACAUUCUCACGGAUCUUUAGAAUAUGGUAAAGUUGGUGAUAUCCUUAUUCUUGACUGUCCAAGAUGGGAACAUCUAAUAUAUCAAUUGGCUGGUCAUGAUCAUGUGAUUAAACAUGUUAUCAAGAAAGGACGUGUGGUAUAUUCUCGUCAAGACCAACCAUAAAUUAUAAAAUGGAUGUUGAGUUGCCUGAUACAGAAGAUACGUCGACUCAGCUAGUUCAGGUCUCAAUGGAUAAAAAUGUACAUGUGACAUGCCCGUGUUCCAGUCAAAUCUCUCUGAGUUUGAUUUUAGUUCAAUGAUGAUGACACAAACCCUUGGAUAAGGAAUACCAUGUGUUGUAUUGUCAAAUGCACAGAGUAAACGAUUUGCUAAAUCAUGCGCCAUUAACAAUAGUUCAUCAUUAUAAUCAUUGGGUAUCAUAUUGCCAAAUGGUUGCUGGGGAUCACGAAUGAUGAGAUGCGCAGAAAGCAAUCCACCAAGGACUCUAUGUAACAAGAGCAAGAAAAUAAAUUCAAAUGAAUGUAAGGUAACAAUAACUGGUAAUUUGUUACCUUAUUGUGACUUCAAAAACUUGCACUGUAGUAUUCUUAUCAAAAGAAACAUUGUCCAUAACUAAUUUGACUGCACGUUUAAAUUCACUAAUAUUUCCCAUAAUCUAAAGAGUAAUCAAAAGUCUUCUUCAAAUAACAUCGAACGGAUAUUAUUCAAAAAGGAAAAAUCACUUACGGCUAAUGUGCCUAAGGAUUCAACAAGUGACAAAGAAUAAUCCCCAAGUACAUCAUUAAUAUUGAUAUUUGACCUAAAGAAUAAAACAAAUUAAUCAAAAUCUAAAGGUCACGAGGAUAAAAAACCCCAAAAAUCGUAAAUACACGAUAGAGGAAGGGAGUCAAAGGUAAAUCAUAAAUUACAUACGGGUUCUCAUAAUCCGGUCCUCUGCCUGUACAAUGUAUUGGAUCCAACUCAUCCAUUGGAUAAGCAUAUUUUAUGUAGUUAUCGUAGCCAAAGUAAAACAUUUCCUUCGCUUCUUCACGUAA